AGCGAACGCUGGCGGCAGGCUUAACACAUGCAAGUCGAGCGGGCACUUUCGGGUGUCAGCGGCGGACGGGUGAGUAACGCGUGGGAACGUGCCCUCUGGUUCGGAAUAACUCAGGGAAACUUGAGCUAAUACCGGAUACGCCCUUUUGGGGAAAGGCUUGCUGCCGGAGGAUCGGCCCGCGUCUGAUUAGCUAGUUGGUGAGGUAACGGCUCACCAAGGCGACGAUCAGUAGCUGGUCUGAGAGGAUGAUCAGCCACACUGGGACUGAGACACGGCCCAGACUCCUACGGGAGGCAGCAGUGGGGAAUAUUGGACAAUGGGCGCAAGCCUGAUCCAGCCAGGCCGCGGGAGUGAUGAAGGCCUUAGGGUUGUAAAGCUCUUUUAGCCGGGACGAUAAUGACGGUACCGGAGGAAUAAGCCCCGGCGAACUUCGG
rnacentral:rRNA from 1 species